UACAGAGGGUGCGAGCGUUAAUCGGAAUUACUGGGCGUAAAGCGCACGUAGGUGGCGACGUAAGUCGGGUGUGAAAGCCCCGGGCUCAACCUGGGAAUUGCAUUCGAGACUGCAUUGCUGGAGUACGGAAGAGGAAGGCGGAAUUCCCGGUGUAGCGGUGGAAUGCGUAGAGAUCCGGAAGAACACCGGAGGCGAAGGCGGCUUGCUGGACCUGGUCUGACGCUGAGGCGCGAAAGCGUGGGGAGCGAACAGG
rnacentral:rRNA from 1 species